rnacentral:rRNA from 1 species
ACGCUCACAUUCGCGACCCCAGGUCAGGCGGGAUUACCCGCUGAAUUUAA